GGGGGGAACCUGCGGAAGGAUCAUUA
rnacentral:rRNA from 1 species